CCUACGGGGGGCAGCAGUGGGGAAUAUUGCACAAUGGGGGGAACCCUGAUGCAGCGACGCCGCGUGGGUGAAGGAGUACUUCGGUACGUAAAGCCCUAUCAGCAGGAAAGAAAAUGACGGUACCUGACUAAGAAGCCCCGGCUAACUACGUGCCAGCAGCCGCGGUAAUACGUAGGGGGCAAGCAUUAUCCGGAUUUACUGGGUGUAAAGGGAGCGUAGACGGCAGUGCAAGUCCGGAGUGAAAGCCCGGGGCUCAAACCUGGGACUGCUCUGGAAACUGUAAAGCUGGAGUGCGGGAGGGGCAGGCGGAAUGCCUGGUGUAGCGGUGAAAUGCGUAGAUAUCAGGAGGAACACCGGCGGCGAAGGCGGCUUACUGGACUGUAACUGACGUUGAGGCUCGAAAGCGUGGGGAGCGAACAGGAUUAGAUACCCUUGUAGUC
rnacentral:rRNA from 1 species